rnacentral:rRNA from 1 species
GCCAGUAGUCAUAUGCUUGUCUCAAAGAUUAAGCCAUGCAUGUGUAAGUAUAAGUAUUGUACAGCGAAACUGCGAAUGGCUCAUUACAUCAGUUAUAGUUUAUUUGAUAUUUGAAAGUUACAUGGAUAACCGUGGUAAUUCUAGAGCUAAUACAUGCAAAAAGCUCCGACCGUAUGGGAAGAGCGCUUUUAUUAGACCAAAACCAAUGGGGUCGCAAGAUCCCUUUGUCUGGUGACUCUGGAUAACUUUGUGCUGAUCGCAUGGCCUUGAGCCGGCGACGUAUCUUUCAAGUGUCUGCCCUAUCAACUUUCGAUGGUAAGCGAUUUGCCUACCAUGGUUGUAACGGGUAACGGGGAAGUCAGGGUUCGGUAUUCCGGAGAGGGAGGCAUGAGAAAUAGGCUACCACAUCUACGGAAGGCAGCAGGCGCGCAAAUUACCACCUCCUAGAACGGGGAGGUAGUGACGAAAAAUAAACAAUACCGGACUCAAUGAGGCUCGGUAAUUAGAAUAGAGUAC